rnacentral:rRNA from 1 species
GCGACCCCGUGAGGGCAAGCCAACCACAGAAAAGCCAUCUCAGUUCGGAUUGUAGUCUGCAACCCGACUACAUGAAGCUGGAAUCGCUAGUAGUCGCAGAUCAGAAUGCUGCGGUGAAUACGUUCCCGGGUCUUGUACACACCGCCCGUCACACCAUGGGAGUUGGAAAUGCCCGAAGCCAGUGACCCAACCGUAAGGAGGGAGCUGUCGAAGGUGGAGCCGAUGACUGGGGUGAAGUCGUAACAAGGUAGC